rnacentral:lncRNA from 1 species
CAGACACCCACCCGCGGCUGGACGCGCGGAGCCCGCCCUGGGCCUCCCUCCCCGGCUUCAGGUCCCCGCCUCGGCCCUGCCCACCUGGGGCUGCGCUCCCUGCAAGUCUGCGGCCCCCACGCGGCCCUCGGCCCCGGCGCGGGUCUUCUGCGGACGCCUCCAGCCAGCUCCGGGUCCCUGCGCGGAGGACGCUGAUUCGUGUCGUUAAGCGGGUGAAGCGGGUGUAGACAGAGAGCCCAGGACAGCACCUGGCCCGUAGUAGGUGCCGCAAGAAACGCUUCUUGAAGGAAGGAAGGAACGAACCCACGAGUAUUGCAGGAGGAUUAAAUGAAAGAUCAAUUCAUCCCACCUCACGGUAAUAGGCACCCUGUUUCCUCCCAGCCCCGAGAUUGGAGAGUUUGUUUUCAUCCUCCUGUUGUCUGAACACAGCACAGAGCAAUCCUGAGACACAAAGCAACGUGCCUUUCAAAAUUUUUAAUAAACAUGGAAUCUUGCUAUGCUGGCCAGGCUGGUCUUGAACUGCUAGCCUCAAGCGAUCCUCCCUCCUUGGCCUCUCAAAAUGUUGGGAUUAUAGGCGUGAACCACUGUAACCAGCCUCAAGACAGGCUUUCUAAGACACAAGAUUCCGCGUGUCAACUGUAUCCACGGAAACCAUUCCUUAGUUUAUUGUCACCGCCAUUCCUAACUCUGAUGUGAAAAUCCCUGCGUUCAUCAACAUAACCCAGUUAGGGUCGCACUCAUCACGGGGCCCCCAUUGCCUCUGGCGCACCCCACGACUGACAUCUGCGGGGCCUUCGCGCUAGGCUUCGAGUUUCAGCUUCCGCACCAGGCCUGCCUUUCUGCAGGGGCCAGGGUGGGGGUCGUGUGCUGAUUGGGCCCUCUGAACCGCCACCGCUGCAGAGGGGCUGUUCCUUCCGUCACAUCCCUUGUGCCCGAAUCCACCCUGUGUCUUCUCUUUUCUCAGCAGGACAUUUUAAAAGCCCAGACCCCCUCCUUACAGAGCAAAUGUCCAGGCUUCGGAGGUCACUGUCACAUCCCAAGAACCCCCUUCACCAGGUGCCACUCUUGAGACUGGACUGAAGCCCCCUGGAGAGUUCCACUUGCCUUUGUCCUGCUGCCUGAGAUGAGGGCAUGGACAGCCGGGUACAAGACGGGACAGGCAACCUCGCAGUGGUGGUAACCCUGUGCAUGAACCCUGGGCCUGGCACGUGGACCUCCUGUGACCGUCCCCACAGGCCCGUGAGGCUGAGCUUGGCACUGCCCAAGACCACACAGUCCAUGCGCAGUGGAGCUGGGGUCCAGGCUGCCCACCAGGGCAGUGACUGCAAUGGUGGCAGCAGGGGACAGUCACCAUGGUGAGCUCAAGCCAGGCGCUGCACUGACCUUGAGGGAGGGCUCCAUGCUUCCCCUUCCCACAGCUGCAGUGAGGGCUAGGAGAGCAGGGUCGGCUGCAGGCUUGAGUCCUGGGGUGCCUCUGGGCUGACGGGCCCUGCCUGACCUGCUCCUCCAGUGCCCCAGCCCUGCCCCACCCACGUCCCCUCCUCUCACUGCCCCCUGGCCCACUCCGCUGCGGUCUCAGUGCCUUCCCAGGCUGGGCAUCAUCUGAUGGGAGGAAAAUGAGGGCCCCAGACUCUGUGUCAUCCUGGCAGGACCCCUCCCCUCCCAUGGCUUUGAGCCCAUGAGAUGGCCUUGGACAAAGCGGCAAUGGGCCCUUCCUGAGACACAGUGCGGCCAUCUACUGGGAAACUGCCCAGUGUGACUCUGAUGACUGUGAUGUGAAUCCCACAGCAAAGUUGAGCAGUGCGCAACCUGGGCUACUGCACCUGGCAGCCCUGGCUCCUCCUCCUCUGCCUCUUCCUGCUCCUUCAUUCUCCCCCAGAGCUCUAAUUGUCACUGAGAUUUUAUGUUUCGUUUAACAAAUGACUGUCUCCCCGCUUGAACAGAACCUCCAUGGGGGGAGGGAAGAGUGUCUGUUGUAUAAAUAGUUGUAUUUCAGUGCAUAAAACAGUGCCUGCCUCAAAGGGAGGACUCAGUCAAUAUCUGUUGAAUGAAUGAAUGAUUGCCUGGGUCAACGAAUGAAUGGCUGAAUGAAUGAUUUCUCCUUUCCCUCGGCACUGUCUGGAGUCCCCAGGACAGGCAUGGGCAGCAGUCGCUGGUCUGUGGCCUGUCCCACUGGACUUGGGGUUCUCAUGCUUGGUCUGGGCGGAGAUCACCCACCAGGCUCCCAGGUCGAUCCUCUGCUCAUGGGAAGCUGCGUCCGGCCCAGCUGCCAGGAGCUCACUGCAGGGUGGAGGGAAGAGCAGGGACGAUCUGCGAGCGCCUGAACACCACACAAGAGCCGAGGAGCCGCUGCUUAAAAUGCAGGCGUUGAGAGGAGUUUCGCCUCCUUUUUUGACUUGAAUAUGAGAUUUCCGAGCAGCCAUGACGAGUUGGGUUGGUGGAAGUGGGGAGUCCGUUCCUCAGUCAGAUGGAGGGGGUCCCCUUGGAUCUCCUCUCGGGGCUUGAACCCUGAUACUUCAAG